rnacentral:rRNA from 1 species
GAUGAACGCUGGCGGCGUGCUUAACACAUGCAAGUCGAACGGGAUCCAAGGGGUGCUUGCACUUUUUGGUGAGAGUGGCGAACGGGUGAGUAACACGUGAGUAACCUGUCCUUUUCUUUGGGAUAAGCAUUCGAAAGGGUGUUUAAUACCUUAUGUUCUGUCUGCCUCGCAUGGGGUGGGUGGGAAAGGCUUUGGCCGGAUUUGGGUGGGCUCGCGGUCUAUCAGCUUGUUGGUGGGGUGAUGGCUUACCAAGGCUUUGACGGGUAGCCGGCCUGAGAGGGUGGUCGGUCACAUUGGGACUGAGAUACGGCCCAGACUCCUGCGGGAGGCAGCAGUGGAGGAUAUUGCACAAUGGGCGAAAGCCUGAUGCAGCGACGCCGCGUGGGGGAUGAAGGCCUUCGGGUUGUAAACUUCUUUUGCUCUGAACAAGGCAUGCCAGUGGGUGUGUGGAGUGUAGGGGUUGAUUAGCGCCGGCUAACUACGUG